CAGUCGCCACGGUAACACGUAGGGUGCAAGCGUUAAUCGGAAUUACUGGGCGUAAAGCGUGCGCAGGCGGUUCUAUAAGACAGAUGCGAAAUCCCCGGGCUCAACCUGGGAACUGCAUUUGUGACUGUAGAGCUGGAGUGCGGCAGAGGGGGAUGGAAUUCCGCGUGUAGCAGUGAAAUGCGUAGAUAUGCGGAGGAACACCGAUGGCGAAGGCAAUCCCCUGGGCCUGCACUGUCGCUCAUGCACGAAAGCGUGGGGAGCAAACAGGAUUAGAUACCCCCGUAGUCCCUGUCUCUUAUAC
rnacentral:rRNA from 1 species